UUCUACAGCCAUACCACCCUCAACAUGCCUGAUCUCUUCUGAUCUCAGAAGCUAAGCAGAGUCAGGCCUGGUUAGUACUUGGAUGGGAGUAUAUACCUGUUUUCGCCGACCAAAAGAAAUCCAAAAAGGAU
ensembl:rRNA 5S_rRNA 5S ribosomal RNA